GACGUGGCCAAAGGAUAAUCAGAGAAAAUGACACUGGAAUCAUACGUGUCUUGGGAAGAAACAAGAAACCAAGGUGCCUUGUGAUAUGCACACGCAUAUUCUACAUAUUUGGGAUAUAUCCUUUGACAACCAGAAGAUCUAAUGGCUGAUAAACGAGUGACCUAUGCAAGUUCGGCGGCUUGUCCUGAACAAUUGAACGGUUUGGA